rnacentral:lncRNA from 1 species
GUAUGGUCAGGCGGGAUCAUCUGCCAGCUGGAGGUCUCAGGACUGUGGAAAACCAUGUAUUCUAGCAGUAUAUUCUCUGGCCCAGCCGACCAUUACUAUCUUCAUAACGCUUAUGAAACUGUGCCUUCUCUAAGGCCAUUCACAGCUCUCGACUGGGCUAUCCUUCUUUGCCCUCUGUGCAUAAUUUCAUGCUUAUUUGAUCUCCCCAACCUCUGCACUGACCUGGCUUCUUGUGUUAUAUCCUAAACAACUUGUUCUUGGUUUCAUCCACUCAGUUCUCUGGAUCAGCCAGCUUCACACAGAAGUGACAGCACUUCUGAAAUCCCCUCUUAGUCACUUUUGUAACUUCAACCUCUGCUAAAGGUAGACACUCACUCUAUAGACCAGGCCUUGAGCUCAAAGAUCCACCUGCCUCUGCCCCCUGGCCCCCUCCACCUCCCCACGAGUGCUGGGACUAAAGGUGUGAACCACCACCACCACCACCACCACCACCCAGCUCCCUUGUUUUCUUAACAUUGAUCUAUUUAUAACUAGAGUGAGCAAAGCAGUGGUGGUGCACAACUUUAAUCCCACCACUCAGGAGGCAGAGGCAGGUGGAGCUCUGUGAUUUCGAGGCCAGCCUGGUCUACAAUAUGAGUUCCAGGACAGCCAGGGAUACACAGAGAAACCCUGCCUCAAAAAGAAAAUCAAAUAAACCCCCACAGAGUUACACCUUAUCCACUGCCCAAUGUCCUGCCAUUGGUUCCCAGACCAGAGCCUAGAGCCUGAAAUGGUCAUAUGCUCAGGCCCCAUUGCAAAGGACAGUGGGAAGGCACCUGCUUGUCUAACCUCUGGGGUGGCAAAGCUCGGGAGGGACUCCUCCUUAGGCAGCAGAGAUGCUCACUGGUGUGGGCUGUGCACACUCUGGUUUUCUUUCCUCUAAACUUGUGGGCCCCCAGGUUCAAGCUUUUAAUUUUCAGGUUUGCAUAUCUAUAAGUGCCUCCGUGUAUCUAUGUGGACCACAUGUAUGCCUGGUGCCUGUGGAAAUGAGAAGAAAGCAUUGAAUCCCCUCAAAAAGUGUUCUUAACCCCUUAGCCAUCUCUCCAGCCCCAGGUUCAAAUCCUGAGCACCGUCUGAACUAGUCCUGUGUCCAAGACAGUAUCAUCAAACCCUGCCCUUCCCGCCUUGUGCCAGCUCGCGCUUUUUCUUACAUCUGUAUGUUGAUGCUUAGCAGGUUCCUUGAAUGCUUGGUUUAUGUGCCUGGCUGGAGGAGACACCCAUGGCCUUGCAGAGGGAGCGUUCUGGUGGGAAAGCAGACACAACCCACCCUAGGCCCGUGGUUUCCCUGCAAGAAGCCCAGUGGCUUUCUGGAGGACACUUUUCCUGGAGGAAGUGACUCAAGCACAAGUUCUUGGUGGCCUCAAUUCACGGUCUCUUCCUGUUGAUCAGCAGUGGGCAGAGACCACCUCCCUCAUUGCCGCUUUGGGUUUGGACCGCUUUAAACAGUAAAGUGACUGUCGACGGCUCAGUCUACAGGGAGGAGAACAAAAGACAGGGUCAGGGCUGGGCAGACUGGACAGGAGCAGCAUAAGCCAGGCUCUAUGGAAUGUUGGGUGAGCUGCUUGAGGAACUCCAAGGCCUGUCCCACAGUCUUCCAGCCUCCGACUCUCCGGCCCUCAGCGAGGAAGUCCCACUGGUUUUUUUGGUUGGUUUUUUUUUUUUUUUUUAAGGUUUUUUGGUUUUUUUUUUUUUUUCUCAUUCCUGUCUUGGGAGCUUUCCCCAACCAGGAGAGUGAAGAUGGGCGGAGCUGUCACACCAACUGUUAGCCUGCCUUGGCUGAGAGGAGAGGAGGCGAGGAGGGAGCGACCACCCAGCUUUAGUCGUUUUAAAACAGCUCCUGACCCUAGAAGAAGGGAAAUGGAGAUGAAGACCCAAUUGACUUGGUAUGAAGUUUAAAUGCCCCUUCAAGACUUGGGGGUCGAGGACGGUGAGAUUGGCUCAGUGGAUAGAUUCACUUGCCUCUAAGCCUGACAACCUAAGUUAAUAUCCUCUACCCACAUAUGGAAGGAAAAAAAUGAUUUCCAAAAGUUGUCCUCUGACCUCCACACAGAGACCAUGGCCUGUGCACCACCCCCCGAAAAUGUAAUAUAUUUUUUAAAAAGACAUGGGGACUUCCAUUCAGUGUCUCCCAAUGUUUGGGGAUUUCCUUUCCUUAUUUCCUUACUCCCUGUCGGUGCCCUAGAGGAGACAGAGAGAGUCUAACUACGGAGAGGUCAUUCUCUAGGUUGGUUGGUGGAAUAUUCAGGACUCCUGGGAAGGCUCCAACUGGUCCCUGAGAGUCCCAGUUUCCUCUAUCACACAGCAGAAGGUGGGGAAUGGCUGCCGUGGUUGGAAGAGCGCGUUGGUGCUGAGGGGGCCAGCUGGUUGAGAAGCAGGUGGAGAGGGAAAGGACCCUGCUUAAGAGGGGGCUGGGUGGGAAGGCUGGGUAAUUUAUGAUAUCAUUGUUCCCGCCCCUCUUCCCAGCCCCCUGCCACUUUACUGUUGCUAGGAGAUCCUGGCUGGCCCUGUCAAAUGGAAAACUCCUCCUCAGCCAGAGUAGGCCCUACCCUGAGUCACAACAGACCCUAAACACACCAGUGUCUCCUAUGAAUCCAUUCAGGUUCAGCCAGCUUGGGCGUGGGACUACCUGACCGAGCAAGUGCUUGUGUGUGUGUGUGUGUGUGUGUGUGUGUGUGUGUGUGUGUGUGUGUGUGUGUGUGAUAUGGAGGGAGCCAGGAGAUAGACUUUGAGGAUGGAGGAGCACUCUGAGGGCCUGCAGGUGACCCUGGGAACCAAGCCUGGGAAGAACCUAAGUUAAUAAUGCAAUCUUUAUCUUAGAGAGAGUGAUCUUUCAGCAGACUGAUCGAACACACAGGCUUCUCAGCCCACUCCCUCCAGUCAAGGUUAAGGCCUGGCAAAGGUGGAGGAAGAGAAGCUGAGGAGAAAAAGGCGAGGAGAGCCUAGGCACAGGAAGGCUUCCCUCCCUCCCAGUGCUGAUUUCCUGUGGACCAGAUUCCAGCACAGUGGAGGGCCAGAGCUCAGGGAACAGACCCAGCAGCACAGCAAGUCUCCAAGGAAAGCUCUAGCAGUCUCCAGGGGCUGAAGGCAGGACUGGGGAAGCGGCUAGCCAGGCUGCAGAAGGCAAAUGCUCCCAGACGGCUGUCCAGCACGCAUCCGCCUUCCUAGCCAAGUUUCCUGGGCUCCUGCCACAGAUCUAAGCCUCAUCCUGACAUCCUGCCCUCUGUGCUCUGGGAUGGCCCAGGGGAGAUGCUUAGCCUUGGCUCCUUGUCUGCUGGUGGAGGGGACACACACCCUUUCUGGACCACAGACCAAAAAGAAGACCUGACGUCAUCCUGAGCACCCCCGCCAUGCAGAGUGUGUUCGCAGACUGCCAACGGGCUGGCUCCGGCCAGCAGAAGUGAACAGAGGUGGAGGUUCAGCCUGACAGCUUCUCCCCAAAGCCAUGGAGAGAAAACCUUACCACCCCCACCGCCCAGCUACUUCCAGCAAGUUGUCCAGCCUGACCCCUCUAUUUCCCCUGUUGUCUCUUAUCUGGGUCCCUGAGACCCACCCCAUCUCCAAUAAAGAACAUUGCAUACUGUGCAUCCACUACUGAACAACAUAGUCACACCAGGCAGGGCUCCCUAAAGCCUACCUGCAUGGCCAGCGUGGUCCGAGGACAGUGUGCUCUCCCCACCCUGUCUGCUAGCCUCCAGCUUCAUGGGAACUCCAUUAAUCAUGGGAUUCCGAGAUCAUCAGAGCAAUAGGAUCACUCCGUCUCCAGGGGAGCACAAGGCAAGAGCCAGAGCGGGACUGUUCUUCAGUCAAGGGGCAGGGGUUGCUGCCUCU